CGGAUCGUAGCGCAGUGGCCGACGCGCUCGGCUGUAGACCGAGAACACGUAGGUUCGACUCCUACCGAUCCGA
rnacentral:tRNA from 1 species